AUGAGGCACAGUCUGGAAAGGAGACACUGUGGGGAGUUAGUCUGCUCUCUUCAAGGAUUGUCUGUCUUGCAUUCCUCAAGGAGUUUCCAGACUUGGAAGAGAGAAACACAGGGGCCAAAAGCCUCAAUCCUAGAAAUGACAGUGAUGACAGAGAAGGAUCAGAGGAGGGAAGCCAGUGAGCAUCCUCUGGGUUAAGGUUCUUCAUGUCAACCUUUGGCAAGCUGACAUAAAGUCAUAGAAUCAGGCUGCACACCUGGGAGAAUGAACGACGGAAAAGUUGGAUGGAAGGAAAAGGUAAUGUUUGCAAUGCACUAAAUGUCUCAUGCUCACUAUUCUAUCUAAUUCUCAUACCCACCGGUCACAUAAGCACUGUUGUCUUCAUUUAAAGAUUAGGUCACUGAAAUUCGGAGAGGGUAGGCGACUUGCUAAGGUAAACAGAAACUGCAUGGUCAAGCCAUAGUGGGAGUCCAAUUCUGAGGUCUCCAAAGUCCUUCAGUUACUUACAGCACAAAUCAUGUCUCAUGAUAACAGUUAUAACACGUAAAUUAAAGCCUGAUGAAUGAAGAGUGUAUAUUUCACCUGGGUGGCAUUAAGAUCUAAGUGAGGUUUGUUUUUGUUUUCCUGCUAUUUUGUCCUCAGGCAACACUGUAAAAUAAUCUUUUAAAAUUCCAGGUCCUCAGGAGGUCAUUUUAG
rnacentral:lncRNA from 1 species